AGGGAAGUGGCGCAAUUGGUAGCGCAACGGUCUCCAAAACCGUAGGUUGUGGGUUCGAGUCCCGCCUUCCCUGC
rnacentral:tRNA from 2 species